UUUUCCACCACGCCAACUUCUUGUCUUCGAUCGUGCCGGAGUCCUGCAUGCUGAUCCUGCUGGGAACCCUCGUGGGCGGCAUCUCGCACUUCACGGACUCGGACUACGUGCCCACCUUCUCGCCGGACACUUUUUUUCUCUUUCUGCUUCCACC